AUACGUAGGUGACAAGCGUUAUCCGGAUUUACUGGGCGUAAAGGGUGCGCAGGUGGCACUUUAAGUUGGAUGUGAAAUCCCCGUGCUUAACAUGGGAGCUGCAUCCAAUACUGGAGAGCUAGAGUGCAGGAGAGGUAAGCGGAAUUCCUAGUGUAGCGGUGAAAUGCGUAGAUAUUAGGAGGAACACCAGUGGCGAAGGCGGGUAACUGGACUGCAACUGACGCUGAGGCGCGAAAGUGUGGGGAGCAAACAGGAUUAGAUACCCUGGUAGUCCACACUGUAAACGAUGAAUGCUAGGUGUAGGGGGUAUCGACCCCUUCUGUGCCGCAGUAAACACAAUAAGCAUUCCGCCUGGGGAGUACGGUCGCAAGAUUAAAACUCAAAUGAAUUGACGGGG
rnacentral:rRNA from 1 species